UCUCUGUGUAUGUAUGUAUGUAUGUGUGUGUGUGUAUACACACUUACAUACCCUUACACACACACACACACACACAUGCAGAUAUAUACAUA
rnacentral:miRNA from 1 species